AUUGAACGCUGGCGGCAGGCCUAACACAUGCAAGUCGAGCGGUAGCACAGAGAGCUUGCUCUCGGGUGACGAGCGGCGGACGGGUGAGUAAUGUCUGGGAAACUGCCUGAUGGAGGGGGAUAACUACUGGAAACGGUAGCUAAUACCGCAUAACGUCGCAAGACCAAAGUGGGGGGCCUUCGGGCCUCAUGCCAUCAGAUGUGCCCAGAUGGGAUUAGCUAGUAGGUGGGGUAACGGCUCACCUAGGCGACGAUCCCUAGCUGGUCUGAGAGGAUGACCAGCCACACUGGAACUGAGACACGGUCCAGACUCCUACGGGAGGCAGCAGUGGGGAAUAUUGCACAAUGGGCGCAAGCCUGAUGCAGCCAUGCCGCGUGUGUGAAGAAGGCCUUCGGGUUGUAAAGCACUUUCAGCGGGGAGGAAGGCGAUAAGGUUAAUAACCUCAUCGAUUGACGUUACCCGCAGAAGAAGCACCGGCUAACUCCGUGCCAGCAGCCGCGGUAAUACGGAGGGUGCAAGCGUUAAUCGGAAUUACUGGGCGUAAAGCGCACGCAGGCGGUCUGUCAAGUCGGAUGUGAAAUCCCCGGGCUCAACCUGGGAACUGCAUUCGAAACUGGUAGGCUAGAGUCUUGUAGAGGGGGGUAGAAUUCCAGGUGUAGCGGUGAAAUGCGUAGAGAUCUGGAGGAAUACCGGUGGCGAAGGCGGCCCCCUGGACAAAGACUGACGCUCAGGUGCGAAAGCGUGGGGAGCAAACAGGAUUAGAUACCCUGGUAGUCCACGCCGUAAACGAUGUCGAUUUGGAGGUUGUGCCCUUGAGGCGUGGCUUCCGGAGCUAACGCGUUAAAUCGACCGCCUGGGGAGUACGGCCGCAAGGUUAAAACUCAAAUGAAUUGACGGGGGCCCGCACAAGCGGUGGAGCAUGUGGUUUAAUUCGAUGCAACGCGAAGAACCUUACCUGGUCUUGACAUCCACAGAACUUUCCAGAGAUGGAUUGGUGCCUUCGGGAACUGUGAGACAGGUGCUGCAUGGCUGUCGUCAGCUCGUGUUGUGAAAUGUUGGGUUAAGUCCCGCGACGAGCGCAACCCUUAUCCUUUGUUGCCAGCGGUUCGGCCGGGAACUCAAAGGAGACUGCCAGUGAUAAACUGGAGGAAGGUGGGGAUGACGUCAAGUCAUCAUGGCCCUUACGACCAGGGCUACACACGUGCUACAAUGGCAUAUACAAAGAGAAGCGACCUCGCGAGAGCAAGCGGACCUCAUAAAGUAUGUCGUAGUCCGGAUUGGAGUCUGCAACUCGACUCCAUGAAGUCGGAAUCGCUAGUAAUCGUAGAUCAGAAUGCUACGGUGAAUACGUUCCCGGGCCUUGUACACACCGCCCGUCACACCAUGGGAGUGGGUUGCAAAAGAAGUAGGUAGCUUAACCUUCGGGUGGGCGCUUACCACUUUGUGAUUCAUGACUGGGGUGA
rnacentral:rRNA from 1 species